UACGGAGGGGGCUAGCGUUGUUCGGAAUUACUGGGCGUAAAGGGCGCGUAGGCGGCCUGCUAAGUCGAACGUGAAAUCCCCGGGCUCAACCCGGGAACUGCGUCCGAUACUGGCAGGCUUGAAUCCGGGAGAGGGAUGCGGAAUUCCAGGUGUAGCGGUGAAAUGCGUAGAUAUCUGGAGGAACACCGGUGGCGAAGGCGGCAUCCUGGACCGACACUGACACUGAGGAGCGAAAGCCAGGGGAGCAAACGGG
rnacentral:rRNA from 1 species